rnacentral:rRNA from 1 species
UACGAAGGGGCUAGCGUUGCUCGGAAUCACUGGGCGUAAAGCGCACGUAGGCGGAUUCUUAAGUCAGGGGUGAAAUCCUGGAGCUCAACUCCAGAACUGCCUUUGAUACUGAGGUCUUGAGUUCGGAGAGGUGAGUGGAACUGCGAGUGUAGAGGUGAAAUUCGUAGAUAUUCGCAAGAACACCAGUGGCGAAGGCGGCUCACUGGCCGAUACUGACGCUGAGGUGCGAAAGCGUGGGAGCAAACAGG